AAGUGGGUUCAUGGGUCAUAGUGGAUCAAAUGGGUUAGUGGGUCACAGGUCAACACGUGACGCAAAUAUUAAACCUUGUUAAGUCGGGUUAGCGGUUUAACCCGUGACACGACACUAUCAUACCUGUGUCAUAAAUGGGUCGACAUGAACACGAAUAAAUCUAACCUAAAUCUUAUAUAUUCGUGUCGUGUUCACGGGUUGUGUUUAAAAUUGCCAACCCUAGCUCUGCUAUACGUAACAAUA
rnacentral:misc_RNA from 1 species